GAAAGUCUGAAUUGUUAAAGGCUGAGUUGUACCCAGUGGUUGUUGCAGUACAGGGCAGCAUGGUUCAAAUCGCAUUGCUACAUGUUUGAGAGCCUCUGGUAAAGGGGCAGCUGUCAGUGUCUUUCAGGGCCUCAUUUUCAUCUCUUUCAACCUUGGGGGUGGCAAGCAAGCAAUCAGACAGACCUGUCAGUGUUCAGCAAACUGUAACUGCUUUUGUAGGUGUUCUCAAAUUAACCCAUCAUUCAGACCUGUGCUUUUUACUUGAAGCAAGUGAAAAACUGCUUCUUGACUGUUAACAAGUACUGGUAGAUGUAUAUAAAGAGCAUGAUUUGUUUUUUAUUAGGAUAUUUAGGGUUUUUUCAUUAAGUCCUUGCAUAUUGUAAGACGCAUACUCGAAGUUUAGGUGAACACUUUUGGAGGAAGGGUCAGUUGUUUUUUUUAAGACAUCAGGAUCAGCGAAGUAACAGCACAUUUUGAUUCUUUGAUUAGAGCUUCAAAAUGGGCAAAGAGCAUUAAUAGAAAGCAAAGCACUUAGUUGCAUGCUUUCCAGCAUGAAUUUUCAGAAUAUAACCAUGCAAGUGAUGAAGAACUACAUUUGGCACAUGUGCUAAAAAUGAGCUCAACAGCUCAACCCAAUCCAUUAAAAAAAAAAAAAAAAACUAAAACCUUUUUGAUACUACAUUCAUGUGUCUGUGGCUAAGACAGAUUCUUCAUAUGAAAUAAGCUCUACAUGAAUUUUCUAGAAAAAAAUAUUUUGGAAAUUGUAUUUUUAUUGUAGUGAAAAUAAGAUAGCAUUAUGUUUAUGUGUACACACACAAAAAGGAACAAUUCACUGUAUAUACAACGAAAUGCAUCGUGCUCAGUAUAACCAAGAAUCUCCUCAGCUUGUGCCCAGCAAAUACCUGAAUACCUUUUAACAGGUGCCUGGUCCCAGCUGCCAUACACGGCUUAACAGAGGCAGCACAGAAGCUCCCCAGGCCAACAGCCCAGCUGCACAGAAGGGUACCUCGAGCCCCGUGUCUCCCACCACUGUGCAGUGGGGGUGACCACGAGGCUUCAGUGCCCUAGGACAGCUCACCUGUGCCCCUGCAAGAGCGGAGCUGUGCCUUACAAAGUCCGGACCAGCACUGCACUGCUCUAAGAGCCCAGGGUCACACAGCACAAGAUUUGUGGCUCUGAUGACCAUCCCUGCUACUCAAGGCAAGAAGACACCAAGCAAAUGAUCCAUUGAGGUUCUCCAAAAGAGGUAGAGGAAUCGCACUGAAAUCUUUACUGGUUUAGAUACACAGCCUAUAGACCAAGUUAAUGAAAAAUGAACUUUUAUAACCUCUGCCACUUCGGAUCACCUCUUUAAAAUGUCACUUUACGCAGAAAAGCCAGAGCAGCUUCCUGAAAUGAAAAACAGAAAAGCAAUGAUUAAGUUAGUCUCUUUCGAACUUUGGAUUCAAGGCUUAUAUGAGGCAGGCCUUCCUACUUUCCAGCUGUGGAAAAUUUAGAAGCUGAUCUGUCUCAAGAUGAAAAAAUGAACAACUGACAUGGAAAAAUGUGAACUGCAGUUAUUUUCAAUUAAAAAAGUGGAGUUGGUGAUCUUGGAACACAAGGUUUUUGCUACUGCAGUUAAUUUUAAUCCGAUCCCAAGGAAUUGUAUCUUUCAAACUAACAGAGCUAUCUGCAAUUUCCCGUUUUCUACAAUACUUUCCCUACACCCAAGCUGGAUUCACACCUCACUAUUACUUAAGGAUUUGCGGUUAGCUUGUGGAUAUAAAUCCCUUCUCCUCAGCCUGCUAGAGUAAAUGCUGGAUGCCAUGUAUAUAACAAGGAAGGAGAACAAUAUGAUCUAACUCACAGUCGGUGGAUGUCUCUGCGCUGGUCGAACUGUAGGAUGUUAGCUGAGGGUAUCUGCGGUAGUAGUGGCUGUAGCCAGUUGUAUCACUUUCAUACAUAGGGUUGUACUUAACGGCAUUCUCAAUGGACGAGAGGCUGUCACCCUGCCUGGGGGAGCGACAAACAAACUGUGAGCUUCUCUGCAGCUGGCAUUUGGAGAUGUCCUUUAAAAUAUUAGGUGGUGUCACUUACCCCUGAGAGUCCUCGGUGUCGCUCUUCGUGUAUUGGUCUCGAAGGGUCCUGGCCAAGAAGAAGAUGACAGCAGAUGCCACAAGAAGGAACCCUGCCACAGAAGCAAUGGCAAUACCCACGACCAGCGGCUCAGACACAUAUUCCUCACAGUGCUCCCCUCUGUACCACCAGUUCUCUCCUACACGACACCUGCAACAAGGAAACACUGGGAAAUCAAACACCAGCUAAGACUCUGACUUCAUUUGACAUAGAUGUAUUUAAUUUGUUCUUAAGACAGUGUCUCAGUUAAGUUAUCUUUAAAAAUAUAUUUGUAUGUUGAAGCACUAACACUUUGUUGUUCUUAUUAUUGUGAACAGCCUUUUUUGUUAUUGAGGAGUUUAGUGAAGAGAGGUAGAACAAAAAGGAUAAAGUGUUAGUGAUGGCAAAAAGCCUGUGUUUUUUGCUAUUUUGCUAUCCUGCAACAUGUUAAAACUGUAAGGUGUUUAGACCGAGUAAAAAAAUAGGCAGUGAUAGCGCCUUGCACAUGAUGUAGCAAACACUGUAAAAGUAGUCUUAAUGAUAUUGUUAUGCAAAUACACGUGAAGGUAUGUUAAUGAGCAGAGCGUUUAUUGUAUGUAAACUCCAUAAUGAUUAAAUACACAAAAUAAAUGACUAGAAAGAUGGGGGUGCCUAAAAGUGUAUCUUUGCAGCUGCUCCCUUAAUCAGCAUUCAUUAUUUCUGCCUUGCCAUGAUGCUGAAUAUGACAGCUGUAGCUAAUACCACUUCUAAACAUACCAGUAAAAAUAUUAUAGCUGCAUUAUAUGUGUUGGGGCCUUUUUGCUAUAAAAAAAAUCAAGGAAGUGCAAGGUAUUACAAGUACUCACAGUACUGAGCCUUACUAAUACUACACAUUACUAAAUUAAGUCUUUUGACAUAAAUAUUUAAGAUGGUUUAUUAAAUUAGUAACCAGCAUUUGAACUUCCUCAAAACGCUUUUUUCAAAAAAAGACUUUCGAAAAAUAUUUCGAAAAAAGUACUGGCCAGAGCAUGCUUGAGCUCAGAUAUUUAUUUCUUAUUAAUCUAUUACACAAAUAUGAUAAAAUUUAUACUACAUCUUCGAAAGUAUCCAUCCUCAUAGCAUUAAAAAACAUUAUAUUUUUUUCCUGUUAAAAGCCAGGACUAUAAGAUUGGCUUUGACUUUAAAAGUUAAAAGUAAGCUUAAAAAAAUGGCCUGAACUAACAAACAAUAACCAGUAGCAGUUAUCAUUCCUUUUUUGUAAUAGUUUUCCUGCCUUUUGUGGAGGACUGUACUUAGUUUCUA